UACGGGGGGGGCAAGCGUUGUUCGGAAUUACUGGGCGUAAAGCGUGCGCAGGCGGUUCGUUGUGUCCGUCGUGAAAGCCCCGGGCUUAACCUGGGAACUGCGAUGGAAACUAGCGAGCUGGAGUGUGGCAGGAGGGGGGUGGAAUUCCGCGUGUAGCAGUGAAAUGCGUAGAUAUGCGGAGGAACACCGAUGGCGAAGGCAGUCCCCUGGGCCUGUACUGACGCUCAUGCACGAAAGCGUGGGGAGCAAACAGG
rnacentral:rRNA from 1 species